rnacentral:rRNA from 2 species
AAUCCAUAGGUUAAUGAGGCGAACCGGGGGAACUGAAACAUCUAAGUACCCCGAGGAAAAGAAAUCAACCGAGAUUCCCCCAGUAGCGGCGAGCGAACGGGGAGGAGCCCAGAGCCUGAAUCAGCAUGUGUGUUAGUGGAAGCGUCUGGAAAGGCGCGCGAUACAGGGUGACAGCCCCGUACACAAAAGCGCAUGUGCUGUGAGCUCGAUGAGUAGGGCGGGACACGUGGUAUCCUGUCUGAAUAUGGGGGGACCAUCCUCCAAGGCUAAAUACUCCUGACUGACCGAUAGUGAACCAGUACCGUGAGGGAAAGGCGAAAAGAACCCCGGCGAGGGGAGUGAAAAAGAACCUGAAACCGUGUACGUACAAGCAGUGGGAGCCCCACCACCAAAGCAUUUGCUGUACCGCGUUGACGGAGCGAAGCGACGUCAAACCGAUAAAACAG